rnacentral:rRNA from 1 species
AACGAACGCUGGCGGCGUGCCUCAUACAUGCAAGUCGAGCGAGAAAGCUUCCUUCCGGGAAGCGAGUACAGCGGCGCACGGGUGAGUAACACGUGGGUAAUCUGCCUUCGGGUUCGGGAUAACCUCGGGAAACUGGGGGCUAAUACCGGAUGAGACCACGGGGUCUUCGGGCCCUGCGGAAAAAGGUGGCCUCUUCAUGAAAGCUAUCGCCUGGAGAUGAGCCCGCGGCCCAUUAGCUUGUUGGUGAGGUAACGGCUCACCAAGGCUCCGAUGGGUAGCUGGUCUGAGAGGAUGAUCAGCCACACUGGAACUGAGACACGGUCCAGACUCCUACGGGAGGCAGCAGUAGGGAAUCGUUGGGCAAGUCGGGGGAAACCCUGACCCAGCAACGCCGCGUGAGGGAUGAAGGCCUUCGGGUCGUAAACCUCUGUCGGGAGGGAAGAACCGUCCCGGGUCGAAUAGGCUCGGGGCCUGACGGUACCUCCAAAGGAAGCACCGGCUAACUCCGUG